rnacentral:rRNA from 1 species
CCUACGGGGGGCAGCAGUAAGGAAUCUUGCGCAAUGGGCGAAAGCCUGACGCAGCGACGCCGCGUGGGCGAGGAAGGCCUUCGGGUUGUAAAGCCCUUUUGGCAGGGAAGAGCAAGGACUGUACCUGCAGAACAAGUCACGGCUAACUACGUGCCAGCAGCCGCGGUAAAACGUAGGAGGCAAGCGUUAUCCGGAUUCACUGGGCGUAAAGCGCGUGCAGGUGGUGCUUUAAGUUGGGCGUGAAAUCUCCUGGCUUAACUGGGAGGGGGCGUUCAAUACUGAAGCACUUGAGGACAGGAGAGGGAGGUGGAAUUCCCGGUGUAGUGGUGAAAUGCGUAGAUAUCGGGAGGAACACCAGGGGCGAAGGCGGCCCCCUGGCUUGUUCCUGACACUAAGACGCGAAAGCUAGGGGAGCGAACGGGAUUAGAUCCCCCUGUAGU